AGAUUGAACGCUGGCGGCAGGCCUAACACAUGCAAGUCGAGCGGUAGAGAGGUGCUUGCAUCUCUUGGGAGCGGCGGACGGGUGAGUAAUGCCUAGGAAUCUGCCUAGUGGUGGGGGAUAACGUUCGGAAACGGACGCUAAUACCGCAUACGUCCUACGGGAGAAAGCGGGGGACCUUCGGGCCUCGCGCCAUUAGAUGAGCCUAGGUCGGAUUAGCUAGUUGGUGAGGUAAUGGCUCACCAAGGCGACGAUCCGUAACUGGUCUGAGAGGAUGACCAGUCACACUAGGAACUGAGCAAAAACGGUCCACGACUCCUACGGGAGGCAGCAGGUAGGGGGAAUAGUUGGAACAAGUGGGACGGAAAGCCUAGAUACCAGCCAUGCCGCGUGUGUAGAAGAAGGUCUUCGGAUUAGGUAAAGUACUACUUUAAGGUU
rnacentral:rRNA from 1 species